UGAGGAAUAUUGGUCAAUGGGCGCAGGCCUGAACCAGCCAAGUCGCGUGAGGGAAGACGGUCCUAUGGAUUGUAAACCUCUUUUGUCGGGGAGCAAAGUGAGCCACGUGUGGCUUUUGGAGAGUACCCGAAGAAAAAGCAUCGGCUAACUCCGUGCCAGCAGCCGCGGUAAUACGGAGGAUGCGAGCGUUAUCCGGAUUUAUUGGGUUUAAAGGGUGCGUAGGCGGGUGUUCAAGUCAGCGGUAAAAUCGUGGAGCUCAACUCCAUCCAGCCGUUGAAACUGAAUGUCUUGAGUGGGCGAGAAGUAUGCGGAAUGCGUGGUGUAGCGGUGAAAUGCAUAGAUAUCACGCAGAACUCCGAUUGCGAAGGCAGCAUACCGGCGCCCGACUGACGCUGAAGCACGAAAGCGUGGGUAUCGAACAGG
rnacentral:rRNA from 1 species